GAGGAAGGAAGGUAGGAAGGAAUAAAGGAAGGAAGGAACCCAAAUGAGUGCUAGGUUGAAAAGAAUAUUCCCCCCUCUUUCUGCUUCCAGGUGGGAUGAUUUUGUAGAUUAAUAAUCCUGGCUACUUUCUGAUCUCACUCUUUGCCCCCUAACGUAGUAGAACAAAAUCCGACUGAGGAGUUUGGGAGAAGUAACUGGGCAUGCGUUUGCCUCCCUUCUUUCUCCUUUGGAUCCUCCUACUGAAAGAAGUGCUCUCCCCUGGCUGAAAGCCGUUUUCAAGGAUGCAGCCUUGAGAGAGCAAAGUGUUGUGGAGACCAUCUGGAUGGAAUACGUGACUGAACCCAGUUAAGGCCUCUCUAUAAACUAAGAUGCUGCCGGGCGGGUGCGGAGGUCUUCUGGUCCUGUGGCAGCUAAGACCAAGCCUCGUCUGAUGCACUGAAAAUGGCCCAUCCCCCUCUGGUGUUCUUCCCAAAUGUGGAUAAUCCCAAUCUAACCAUGAGAAGCCAUCAGACAAAUCCAAGUUAAGAGACAUUCUACAAAAACCUGGCCAGUACCAGUAUCCUUCAAGAGUGUCAAGGUCAUUAAAGACUGAAGAACAGUCACAGGUUGGAGAAGACUAAGGAGACAUAAUUAAAUACGAUAUGGGAUCCUGGAAUAGAAAAGGAGCAUGAGUGAAAAACUGGUGAAAUCUGAAUAAAGUCUAUGAUUUAGUUAAUAGUAUUGUAACAAUGUAAAUUUCUUAGUUUGGAUAAUUGUAUUAUAGUUAUAAGAGAUUAACAUACUAGAGAAAGCAGGGUAAAGAGCAUAUUGGAAUUAUCUACUAUUUUUGUAACUCUUAUG
rnacentral:lncRNA from 1 species